UACGUAGGGGGCAAGCGCUGUCCGGAUUUAUUGGGCGUAAAGAGCGUGUAGGCGGCCAGGUAGGUCAGCUGUGAAAACUCGAGGCUCAACCUCGAGACGCCGGUUGAAACCAUCUGGCUAGAGUCCGGAAGAGGAGAGUGGAAUUCCUGGUGUAGCGGUGAAAUGCGCAGAUAUCUGGAGGAAUACCGGUGGCGAAGGCGGCAUCCUGGACCGGCAUUGACGCUGAGGAGCGAAAGCGUGGGGAGCAAACAGGG
rnacentral:rRNA from 1 species